rnacentral:rRNA from 1 species
GAAUAUUGCACAAUGGUGGAAACUCUGAUGCAGCGACGCCGCGUGAGUGAAGAAGGUCUUCGGAUCGUAAAACUCUGUCCUUGGUGAAGAUGAUGACGACAGCCAAGGAGGAAGCCCCGGCUACCUACUUGCUAGCAGCCGCGGUAAUACGUAGGGGGCUAGCGUCGUCCGGAUUUACUGGGCGUAAAGGGUGAGUAGGCGGUUAUGUAUGUCAGAUGUAGAAGGCGUGGGCUUAACUUACGUUAGCAUUUGAAACUGCAUAACUUGAGUGCGGGAGAGGUAAGUGGAAUUCCUAGUGUAGCGGUGAAAUGCGUAGAUAUGAGGAGGAACACCAGUGGCGAAGGCGACUUACUGGACCGUAACUGACGCUGAGUCACGAAAGCGUGGGUAGCAAACAGG